rnacentral:rRNA from 1 species
AGAGUUUGAUCCUGGCUCAGGAUGAACGCUAGCGACAGGCUUAACACAUGCAAGUCGAGGGGCAGCGGAGGUAAAGGCUUGCCUUUACCUGCCGGCGACCGGCGCACGGGUGAGUAACACGUAUGCAACCUGGCCGUCACAGGAGGAUAACCGGGAGAAAUUCCGCCUAAUACUCCAUAACACUUUCCGAGGACAUCCUGGGAAAGUCAAAGGAAUUCGUUCCGGUGACGGAUGGGCAUGCGGCGCAUUAGCUAGUCGGCGGGGUAACGGCCCACCGAGGCGACGAUGCGUAGGGGUUCUGAGAGGAAGGUCCCCCACAUUGGAACUGAGACACGGUCCAAACUCCUACGGGAGGCAGCAGUGAGGAAUAUUGGUCAAUGGGCGGAAGCCUGAACCAGCCAAGUCGCGUGAGGGAAUAAGGCCCUAAGGGUCGUAAACCUCUUUUGCCGGGGAGCAAUGGUUCGCUUGCGAGCGGACAGGGAGAGUACCCGGAGAAAAAGCAUCGGCUAACUCCGUGCCAGCAGCCGCGGUAAUACGGAGGAUGCGAGCGUUAUCCGGAUUUAUUGGGUUUAAAGGGUGCGUAGGCGGACCAUCAAGUCAGCGGUCAAAAGUCGGGGCUCAACCCCGUAAAGCCGUUGAAACUGGCGGUCUUGAGUGAGCGAGAAGCAGGCGGAAUGCGUGGUGUAGCGGUGAAAUGCAUAGAUAUCACGCAGAACCCCGAUUGCGAAGGCAGCCUGCCGGCGCUCAACUGACGCUGAGGCACGAAAGUGCGGGGAUCGAACAGGAUUAGAUACCCUGGUAGUCCGCACAGUAAACGAUGAAUGCUAGCUGUCCGGGUCGAAUGAGACCUGGGUGGCACAGCGAAAGCGUUAAGCAUUCCACCUGGGGAGUACGCCGGCAACGGUGAAACUCAAAGGAAUUGACGGGGGC